UAUUGCACAAUGGGGGAAGCCCUGAUGCAGCAACGCCGCGUGAGUGAUGAAGGCCUUCGGGUUGUAAAGCUCUGUCUUCAGGUACGAUAAUGACGGUACCUGAGGAGGAAGCCACGGCUAACUACGUGCCAGCAGCCGCGGUAAUACGUAGGUGGCAAGCGUUGUCCGGAUUUACUGGGCGUAAAGGGAGCGUAGGCGGAUACUUAAGUGGGAUGUGAAAUACCUGGGCUUAACUUGGGUGCUGCAUUCCAAACUGGGUGUCUAGAGUGUUGGAGAGGAAAGUGGAAUUCCUAGUGUAGCGGUGAAAUGCGUAGAGAUUAGGAAGAACACCAGUGGCGAAGGCGACUUUCUGGACAAUAACUGACGCUGAGGCUCGAAAGCGUGGGGAGCAAACAGG
rnacentral:rRNA from 1 species